rnacentral:rRNA from 1 species
GACGUAGGGCGCGAGCGUUGUCCGGAUUUAUUGGGCGUAAAGAGCUCGUAGGCGGCUCAUUGCGUCAACCGUGAAAACCAGCAGCUCAACUGUUGGCUUGCGGUUGAUACGGGUGGGCUGGAGUUCGGUAGGGGAGACUGGAAUUCCUGGUGUAGCGGUGAAAUGCGCAGAUAUCAGGAGGAACACCGGUGGCGAAGGCGGUUCUCUGGGCCUUACCUGACGCUGAGGAGCGAAAGCGUGGGGAGCAAACAGG